AGUGAACGCUGGCGGUAGGCCUAACACAUGCAAGUCGAACGGCAGCACAGUGAGAGCUUGCUCUUACGGGUGGCGAGUGGCGGACGGGUGAGGAAUACAUCGGAAUCUACUUUUUCGUGGGGGAUAACGUAGGGAAACUUACGCUAAUACCGCAUACGACCUACGGGUGAAAGCAGGGGAUCUUCGGACCUUGCGCGAUUGAAUGAGCCGAUGUCGGAUUAGCUAGUUGGCGGGGUAAAGGCCCACCAAGGCGACGAUCCGUAGCUGGUCUGAGAGGAUGAUCAGCCACACUGGAACUGAGACACGGUCCAGACUCCUACGGGAGGCAGCAGUGGGGAAUAUUGGGCAAUGGGCGCAAGCCUGAUCCAGCCAUACCGCGUGGGCGAAGAAGGCCUUCGGGUUGUAAAGCCCUUUUGUUGGGAAAGAAAAGCAGCAGGUUAAUACCCCGCUGUUCUGACGGUACCCAAAGAAUAAGCACCGGCUAACUUCGUG
rnacentral:rRNA from 1 species